GCUAGCUAGUGGCUGAGUACACAUCCCUGCUGAAACGAACAGAUACCUUCUAAUAAUUCAGCCUGUCCGAGGUGUAUUUCAACUUUUGCAUUAUACUACCUAGAGUGAAACUCACUCAUCCUAAUAGCCAAAUAAGAAGACUGUUGCCUUUUUGUUAUUUACCAUAUACAAGAUAUUGACGUAACUACCUGGACUGCAGCUGUGACUGUGAUUGAGCGUCACCUAGUGGUGAAAAGACUAAACUACAAGUUGUAGAUCACAUGGGAAGAUCCUUCACUAUGAAGGACUGUGGCAUUAUAUGCAUCUUUCUUACAAAGUAUGUCACCAUUUACAUUCAGGUGUAUCGUUCGGUAUCUGUAGUAUUUAGGA